GGUCAAAAAAAUUUAAAUUUAUUAUAGACAUUGGAGAAAAAUAUGGUUCAAAUUCUCAAAUUUGUUUCUGCAUUGAUAAUCUUUCUUUCUCUGUUUACUAAGCAUGCUUAUAGCGGUAAACCUAAACCGAUUCCUCUAUGGCCAUGCAACACUAGAGCUGAUUGUAUAAACAAAGAGUGUAACUUUCCUGCGAAACCGUUUUGUGUUUCUUCAAAGUGUUUGUGUGUGUAAGAGCAUGAAUAUGUUUUGAAAAAUAAUUAUGUGCUUCUUCUAUAUAUGUAUAUCUUGUAUAAUCUAUGUAUUAGUACCUUAUGAUGUUAGUACUUUUCAUGUUUCUAUGAUUUAUGAGUUUGUUUUACAAGAUCAAAGUGUAAUAAUUAUAAAUAAAAAUAUGUGCAUAUAUUUGCUUGAUUUAUAAAAAAAAAUGUUGAGAAAA